rnacentral:tRNA from 1 species
AAAGUGUUAAUAAAAAUAUUAUAUUUCACUGUCAGUGAAAAAUUGUUGAAUCACACUUUU